rnacentral:rRNA from 1 species
UACGUAGGGCGCAAGCGUUGUCCGGAAUUAUUGGGCGUAAAGAGCUCGUAGGCGGUCUGUCGCGUCGGCUGUGAAAUCCCGAGGCUCAACCUCGGGUCUGCAGUCGAUACGGGCAAACUAGAGUAUUGCAGGGGAGACUGGAAAUUCCUGGUGUAGCGGUGAAAUGCGCAGAUAUCGGGAGGAACACCGGUGGCGAAGGCGGUUCUCUGGGCCUUACCUGACGCUGAGGAGCGAAAGCGUGGGGAGCGAACAGG